GCAAAAUGAAGUGAUAUACUUUGGUUAAUUUUUGCAGUUAUUUUUUACUUUUACCUUGCAAUUAAAUUUUAAAUCUUAAAGGUAUUCUGUAAUAUGGGUAUUGUAAAACUGUUGUUGCUUAAAAGUUAUCUGAAUCUACCAAAAAUAUAAUAACACCACAUACUACUACUGUGACCAAUUUUAACGGAAAAUAUUGCAAAACCAUUUCAAGAUCGACUGAUAGUUUGCAUAUUAUACACCAUGGACACAUGAUUUUUUCAAUAAACAUCCAAUACUGGACACUCUCUUCUUUUGAUCAUCAAAAUGUUCUAAAUAAGGCAAUAAAAAUAUAAA